rnacentral:sRNA from 2 species
UCGCUGUUCGACCGCGUGUGCGUGCUUGUCCCUGUUUACUGUUAGAGUGGCUUGUCUAUUGUGAAACUUCAAGACAUAAAUUGUGAACUUGAGACUAUGGUAAUUAGCGGAAAUCUCCUUUUAACCCAGUGGCAAAAGUUCAAUUUUAUAUCUAUUCCUAUAGUAGAGGUUUGUUUACAGUUGAACGAGGUUCGGAUUUUUGUCAAGAAAUUUUCAACCACAAUGAACUUCGAACCCUGCCAGCCAAUGCAUGUUCAACUCUUAUGGUGAUUUCGCUCCAUCUAAGUUAGUAGUAUUAAUACACCCCACACCAUUCUCAUUACCUCAAGGAGUAUAGGAUUCAGGGCU